rnacentral:lncRNA from 1 species
CCGCGAGGCCCGAGGUGGCAGAGUCGCGCCGCCGGCUCCCAGCGGCCGGGAAGGGGGGAGGCGGUUGGCUGUCAGGUUGGGAGAAGCUGGAAGGACGCUUUCUAUAACGUUGAGAAACGCUCGUUUUCUCCGUCAAAGAACGGAGGAGCUAAUGGAUACCGAUGACGGGAGCUAAACUCCCAAGUCAUCCCUUGGCAGUAGCGCCACCAGAGCAGCUUUUAAAAAUGCACCUAUUGGAGCCAACCUACAGAAUCCGAAUCCGGGGGGUGGUGAGUAGCAGAAAUUCACAUCUGUCGCCAGUUCCUCUGGUGAUGCUGGUGCACACUGAAGGUUGAGACCCUCUCCCACGGCGACGCAGCUCCUGGUGCUCUGAGUUCUUUUUACACAAACCCUCACUUUGAUCUGCGACACCUUUACCGCCUCUAACCCUUGACCGCUCAGAAACCUUCCGCGGGAGCCGUUGCAGAUUGAAUACAAUCUAAACUCAGCCGGAUUUACAAGGGACCCCCUUUGCUGUCCUCGUUCCCAUAUUCCCAUCUCAUUUCCCACGUCUGCCUCGGACCUAUUUCUGUGACGACUGCCCUCGGCUCUCACACCUCCAAGCCUUUUCUCAGCGGUGCCUUCUCUUGGGGUGCUCUUCCAGUCUCCACCCAACUCAGUAUCUUACUCUCACAAGAGGAGAAAUAUUCUCUGAUAAAUAAAGUAUAUUUAAAACACGGGAUUGUUCAAUCUUUGGUCGCCUUUGAAAUUCUGGUAAAAUGACCUUGUUAAGUGGCAGGCAGCCAAACUCUCCUAGUGUUAAUCCCAAGGGUUGGUUCUGAAGUCCCACUUCCUCUCCAGCUGAAAACACUCUUGAGCCGCUUCCUUUGGUCCAGUUUGAAUACACUUAGGAAUGUGGUAAUGCCCUUAAUAUGAGUCUCAAUCACUAUAAAAGGGGAGGCAGCAGGACGUCCUUCUGGACGCAGGUGUUCUCCCCAGGCACCUGUCUGGCCCAGUCCCUCGCCGCCUUCUCUGCAGGCUCGUCAUCCGCUCCCACACUGCUCUGCCCUCGGCAACCUCAUCCCUUCCCCGAGCUUCACCAAGGACUCGCAUACAUUUCUCCAGCUCAGAGCCGUCCCCCGAGCUUCAGGUGCAUGUGUCCAACUGCCCACUUGGCACCGGAUGCCUCAGACACCCAUCAAUUAGAAUCCUCACGGCCGUGUAUCCCGGAAAACCCGACUCAAACUGACUUACAUAGCGAGGAACUGCUCUCCAUACAGUUCCUGGAAUUGCCCUUUCAGGCUGGCAAGAUGGCUGCUGCCAUUCCAGACACACCCAGAUGUGACAGUGUCUAGCAAAAUAAAAGGGAUCCUUUUCGUCCAAUGGCCUCUUUCGAAGAGCAAGAAUACCUUUCCCAGAAGCUCCCCAGAAGUAGCGCCCCGGUUCCAGUGACCAGAAAUGAGUCAGUGGGUCUCCGCCCACAACUAAACCAAUCAAGGGCAAGGUGAACGAGUCUACCAGGAUUGGCUCGGGCUAAUCAAGAUUUACCCUGGAUCCCUGGAUUUUAGGUAGAGGAGUGACAUGAUCAGAUGAGUAUCUUGAAAAGGCCACUUUGUAUGGAGAACAGAUUGCAGAGCUGUGAGAGAAGGAGGACAUCUGGGAAAGUGUUGCAGUGGUUCAGCAAGAGACGAGUGCAUGAAUUUGAUGGUGGAUGGAGAAGCGAAGGAGUGCCAGAGAUAUUUACAAGGUGGAAUGGACAGGACUUGGCCUGGAUUAGAUAUGGGGGUAGGUGAAGACAAGGGCGGGUAUCAUGGACGAUGCCUAGAUUUUUGGCUCGAGCUACUGGAUGAAUGGUGAGGCCAUUCACUGAGAUGAGAAACAGUGAACCGUACUGUUUAUGGGAGGGUGGGAAAUGGGGAAAUAGUCCUGUUUUGGAUAGGCCAUGCUUGGGGUGUUUCUGUAAGUACUGGUACUUGCAUGCCUGACACUUCCCCUUCCCCACUGCUGACAGAGUCUCGAUUGUUCUGGAGGUGUCCAACCCUCCAGUGGUUCCCCUUCACUGUGAGGGCAAAGAGCAGACUCCUUAGCAUGGCUGUGGGUCCAUCCCUGCCUGUCACCAGGCUCCAGCCACUCGCAUUCUUUUAAUUCCUUGGAGGCACAAUGCUCUCCCGUCCUGCCCCACCACAGGAGGGAGCCUUUGCACUAGAUGUUCUCUUUGCCUGGAAUAUUCUUUUCUCUCCCCCGACAUAGAUCUCAGCUCAAGCACCGCUUCCUCAGGGCAAUUUUCUGUUUACUUGGGAGAUGACUUAUUAGCGUCUGUCUCUGCUCUGUCGUGGAAGCUGCGCCAGGCAGGAACCGUGUUGCUUUUGCUCUUCAUGGCCCCUGGCACCCAGUCCAGUGCCUGGACAUAGUAGGUAUGCAAUAAAUACUUGACAGACGAAGGACAGAAGGGACUAAAGUAUAUUUAAAACACCUGCCAACCUGCACGCCCCCAGCUCUGCACCAAGAAAGCAGCUCAUUAUCAGAAUGUGGAUGAUUUAUUCAAAGAGAAAUGAGGAGGCAGCCUCCAGAACAGGCCUCCCGCCCAGCCCCCUAUGAUGUGGGCUAUUCGAACAGACCAGGAUGUCUCUCUUUCUGGAUUUCCUGUGAUGUUCCGCUCCAUCCUCUCUCCUUGUAUUCCUUGUAUUGCUUGUAAACUGUAAGGUCUGAAGACCUGAUUAGAUUCGACACUUCUGGCAGGAGUCCUUCAUGGUGAGGAGCUUAUGAUUUCUCCUUGGACUAUGGACUGAGUGGAACUGCAGCCUAAUGUCUGUGCAGGAACAAUUAAGAACGGACACAGGCUCUGCGCUAACACAAGUUCCUCCACUACCGGAUACUGUAAAUAUUAGUACAUUUUGAUGUUUUCAGUUGGGUCCUUUGGCCAUUCCUACUUCCCUCCUGUCAGUGACUUUGUUCUCAGAAAUAUCAAUAAAUCGGACAUGCUCGCAUGGCCCCUUGCAGGGUACUUUCUGCUAGUCACGUCGAAUCCAGUUCACAAAAGCUGAACGUGGUUCCGAAGACACUAGGUGGCGAGCUGUGGUUGCUGUGCCAGC